UACCCAGCAACUUCUAUCCCUACCUCCUUGUGGUACCGGCUGGAAACUAGGGAAGAUCGGGUAACCAACCCCGGUGGGAAAUUUGGUCGUAGGCUGACAGGGAAGG
rnacentral:ribozyme from 1 species